GACGAACGCUGGCGGCGUGCUUAACACAUGCAAGUCGAACGGAAAGGCCCUGCUUUUGUGGGGUGCUCGAGUGGCGAACGGGUGAGUAACACGUGAGUAACCUGCCCUUGACUUUGGGAUAACUUCAGGAAACUGGGGCUAAUACCGGAUAGGAGCUCCUGCAGCAUGGUGGGGGUUGGAAAGUUUCGGCGGUUGGGGAUGGACUCGCGGCUUAUCAGCUUGUUGGUGGGGUAGUGGCUUACCAAGGCUUUGACGGGUAGCCGGCCUGAGAGGGUGACCGGCCACAUGGGGACUGAGAUACGGCCCAGACUCCUACGGGAGGCAGCGGUGGGGAAUAUUGCACAAUGGGAGCAAGCCUGAUGCAGCAACGCCGCGUGCGGGAUGACGGCCUUCGGGUUGUAAACCGCUUUAGCCUGUGACGAAGCGUGAGUGACGGUAAUGGGUAAAGAAGCACCGGCUAACUACGUG
rnacentral:rRNA from 1 species